UUGGAUUUGGAUUUGGAUUUGGAUAAAAGAUGUGAAUGGAUUUGAAUUUUUGGUAAUUUGAAACUGAAAAUCGGAUCUUAUCUUUUUUUAUAAAUUUUAUCUCUCCUUUUCCCACUCCCUCACCGUCACUUUCUCGCCGUCGAUAAGCAGAUUCCAAAAAAUCACAUACAUUUCAGAGCCUCAAAUGGCUCCUCCUUUACCCUCUCAGAGAGAAAAUUGAGAGAAAGCUGAGAAAGGAAGACGAUGAAGAAGAA
rnacentral:misc_RNA from 1 species